CAGGGCAGGGUGCUGGAUAACGUCCAGUGGGGGCGACCCCAAGGCCAGUGCCACAGAAACAAACCGCCCCGCUCACGCGAGGUAAGGGUGGAACGGCGAGGUAAGAGCUCACCAGCGGGCAGGCGACUGUCCGGCUAGGUAAACCCCACCUGGAGCAAGACCAAAUAGGGGGACAUAGGGAGUGGCCCGCUCCGUCCCCGGGUGUGUCGCUUGAGCCGUCAGGUAACUGCCGGCCCAGAUAGAUGACUGUUCUCGACAGAACUCCGCUUACAGAUUUACUUGCCGU
rnacentral:RNase_P_RNA from 1 species